AUUGAACGCUGGCGGCAGGCCUAACACAUGCAAGUCGAGCGGAUGAAGGGAGCUUGCUCCUGGAUUCAGCGGCGGACGGGUGAGUAAUGCCUAGGAAUCUGCCUGGUAGUGGGGGAUAACGUCCGGAAACGGGCGCUAAUACCGCAUACGUCCUGAGGGAGAAAGUGGGGGAUCUUCGGACCUCACGCUAUCAGAUGAGCCUAGGUCGGAUUAGCUAGUUGGUGGGGUAAAGGCCUACCAAGGCGACGAUCCGUAACUGGUCUGAGAGGAUGAUCAGUCACACUGGAACUGAGACACGGUCCAGACUCCUACGGGAGGCAGCAGUGGGGAAUAUUGGACAAUGGGCGGAAGCCUGAUCCAGCCAUGCCGCGUGUGUGAAGAAGGUCUUCGGAUUGUAAAGCACUUUAAGUUGGGAGGAAGGGCAGUAAGUUAAUACCUUGCUGUUUUGACGUUACCAACGGAAUAAGCACCGGCUAACUUCGUG
rnacentral:rRNA from 1 species